AACGCGAAGAACCUUACCAAGGCUUGACAUAUACGAGAACGCUGCAGAAAUGUGGAACUCUUUGGACACUCGUAAACAGGUGGUGCAUGGUUGUCGUCAGCUCGUGUCGUGAGAUGUUGGGUUAAGUCCCGCAACGAGCGCAACCCUCGUUCUAUGUUGCCAGCACGUAAUGGUGGAAACUCAUGGGAUACUGCCGGGGUCAACUCGGAGGAAGGUGGGGAUGACGUCAAAUCAUCAUGCCCCUUAUGUCUUGGGCUUCACGCAUGCUACAAUGGCCGGUACAAAGGGCUGCAAUACCGUAAGGUGGAGCGAAUCCCAAAAAGCCGGUCCCAGUUCGGAUUGAGGUCUGCAACUCGACCUCAUGAAGUCGGAGUCGCUAGUAAUCGUAGAUCAGCAACGCUGCGGUGAAUACGUUCCCGGGCCUUGUACACACCG
rnacentral:rRNA from 1 species